rnacentral:rRNA from 1 species
AGAGUUUGAUCCUGGCUCAGAGUGAACGCUGGCGGCGUGCCUAACACAUGCAAGUCGAACGAUGAUGGAGAGCUUGCUCUCCUGAUUAGUGGCGCACGGGUGAGUAUACCAUAGAUAAUGUACCCCUUAGUUCGGGAUAGCCACUGGAAACGGUGAUUAAUACCGGAUACUCCUUCUCAUUAUAAGAUGAGUCGGGAAAGUUUUUUCGCUAAGGGAUCAGUCUAUGUCCUAUCAGCUAGUUGGUGAGGUAAUGGCUCACCAAGGCUAUGACGGGUAUCUGGUUUGAGAGGAUGAUCAGACACACUGGAACUGAGACACGGUCCAGACUCCUACGGGAGGCAGCAGUGAGGAAUAUUGCACAAUGGAGGAAACUCUGAUGCAGCAACGCCGCGUGGAGGAUGACGCAUUUCGGUGUGUAAACUCCUUUUAAGAGGGAAGAUUAUGACGGUACCUCUUGAAUAAGCACCGGCUAACUCCGUGCCAGCCGCCGCGGU